UACGAAGGGGGCUAGCGUUGUUCGGAAUUACUGGGCGUAAAGCGCACGCAGGCGGAUUGAUAAGUCAGGGGUGAAAUCCCGGGGCUCAACCUCGGAAUUGCCUUUGAUACUGUAGGUCUCGAGUCCGGAAGAGGUGGGUGGAAUUCCUAGUGUAGAGGUGAAAUUCGUAGAUAUUAGGAAGAACACCGGUGGCGAAGGCGGCCCACUGGUCCGGUACUGACGCUGAGGUGCGAAAGCGUGGGGAGCAAACAGG
rnacentral:rRNA from 1 species